AGUUAAAAGCUUUAAGAAAGCAUUAUGUUUUGAAUUCAUAAAAGAAAGGUUUAAAUCCUUUAUUAACUU
rnacentral:tRNA from 1 species